rnacentral:rRNA from 1 species
UACGAAGGGGGCUAGCGUUGCUCGGAAUCACUGGGCGUAAAGGGUGCGUAGGCGGGUCUUUAAGUCAGAGGUGAAAUCCUGGAGCUCAACUCCAGAACUGCCUUUGAUACUGAGGAUCUUGAGUUCGGGAGAGGUGAGUGGAACUGCGAGUGUAGAGGUGAAAUUCGUAGAUAUUCGCAAGAACACCAGUGGCGAAGGCGGCUCACUGGCCCGAUACUGACGCUGAGGCACGAAAGCGUGGGGAGCAAGCAGG